AGAUCCAGCUCCUUCCCAUCUCCAUCCACUGAUCCCAAAUCCCAGUUAUCCCAGAGCCACCUCCUUCCCAUCCCAUCUCCAUCCCAUGAUCCCAAAUCCCAGUGUCCCAGAUCCAGGUCCUUCCCACCCCAUCUCCAUCCAGUGAUCCCAAAUCCCAGUGUCCCAGAUCCAGGUCCUUCCCAUCCACUGAUCCCAAAUCCCAGUGUCCCAGAUCCGAGUCCUUCCCAUCCCAUCUCCAUCCAGUGAUCCCAAAUCCCAGUGUCCCAGCUCUGGGUCCUUCCCAUCCCAUUUCCCUCCACUGAUCCCAAAUCCCACUGUCCCUCAUCCAGGCCCUUCCCAUCCCAUUAACCAGUGAUCCCAAAUCCCAGUGUCCCAGAUCCAGGUGAUCCCAAAUCCCAGUGUCCCAGAUCCAGGUCCUUCCCAUCCCAUCUCCAUCCCAUGAUCCCAAAUCCCAGUGUCCCAGAUCCAGGUCCUUCUCAUCCCGUUAACUGGAGUCCCAGUGUCCCAGCUCCGGGUCCUUCCCAUCCCAUAACCAGUGAUCCCAAAUCCCAGUGUCCCAGAUCCAGGUCCUUCCCAUCCCAUCUCCACCCAGUGAUCCCAAAUCCCAGUGUCCCAGAUCCAGCUCCUUCCCAUCCCAUUAACCAGUGAUCCCAAAUCCCAGUGUCCCAGAUCCAGGUCCUUCCCAUCCCAUUUCUAUCGGAUGAUCCCAAAUCCCAGUGUCCCAACUCUGGGUCCUUCCCAUCCCAUCUCCAUCCAGUGAUCCCAAAUCCCAGUGUCCCAACUCUGGGUCCUUCCCAUCCCAUUAACCAGUGAUCCCAAAUCCCAGUGUCCCAGCUCCAGGUCCUUCCCAUCCCAUUUCCAUCCCGUGAUCCCAAAUCCCAAUGUCCCAGAUCCAGCUCCUUCCCAUCCCAUUAACCAGUGAUCCCAAAUCCCAGUGUCCCAGAUCCAGGCCCUUCCCAUCCCAUUUCCCUCCAGUGAUCCCAAAUCCCAGUGUCCCAGAUCCAGGCCCUUCCCAUCCCAUUAACCAAUGAUCCCAAAUCCCAGUGUCCCAGAUCCAGGUGGUGCCAAAUCCCAGUGUCCCAGAUCCGUGUCCUUCCCAUCCCAUUAACCAGUGAUCCCAAAUCCCAGUGA